rnacentral:piRNA from 1 species
UACUGCUUUUUUUCAGUUUCUCCGUAAAGU